GCCGUGACCAGGAAAAGAAUGAACGACAGCGCGACGGCCGCGUCGGCGUCCGAACUGAACGGCCAGACCGUAUUAGAGA
rnacentral:sRNA from 1 species